UUUUUGUGAAGUCUGCCCGAAGCACGUAGUGUUUGAAGAUUUCGGUCCUAUGCAAUAUGAACCCAUGAAUCAUGUCAGGUCCUGACGGAAGCAGCAUUAAGUGGACUCUCAUAUGUGCCGUAGGGUAGCCGAGAUUUAGCUAACGACUUCGGUAACGUUUGUGAUAUACGUUCGAUACAAAGGUGCACGG
rnacentral:SRP_RNA from 1 species